rnacentral:lncRNA from 1 species
UCUCUUUCUGAUUGAGUGUAAGCUGCUAUAUGAAGGGAUCCACAAGACGAAUAAUUAAGGGGGACCUCUGAUCAACAGCCAGCAAGGAACUGAAUCCCUCAGACCCACAACUCACAAGAAACUGAAGCUGAAGCAGAUUCUUCCUCAGUCAAGCUUCAGGACCUGCUUUGCAGAAAGGAUCUCAUUGAGAAUAGCAAAAGGAAGUUGGGAACCAUUACAGUGCCCAGCUGUAUUGGUAGAGGAGACCAACCACACCCUCCACAGCACAGCACCUGGAGAGGAACUGCUGCCAUGACCAUAGAGGACACCCUCUGGAUACAAUGCCAGACUUGAUGUGGGACUGACCAACCUAUGGACCCCAGGCACCACCACCCAGACCUGCUCAGCACCUGAAACAUUCACAGCCGUGGAGAGAGAACUGUUCACUGCUACCAUCCACACUUCUGGGCCCCUUCAGCAGCAGGGUGACAAGGAAGAGGGAAAUCGACUUGGAAAAGAGGGGACCUCUGACCCAAGAGUUCGGUCAAUGCAUAUGUUGGCAGCCAGCUGCACAUCGCACCAAAUAUGAACUUCAAAUAGAAGAAAGCCUCAUUUGGAAGAAAGCUCAUGCACAGACUGUAAAUAUUUCAGAGCAGAUUGUGUCUCUGUAGAUUAAUGUUUUUACUUUCAGUUUGAUUCACAUUGCUCAUCCCAGUCUGACGUAAGUCAUCACCUACAAGAACCAGACAAGGAAAAACAGAACAAACUUGAAAGAAAUCAGCUAUCAUAUCUCUAUAAAUGUAUUCUGCCUCUAUUUUUCAUUUUCUUUUAGUAAAGUACUUUAUAAGAAAAACAAUGAAGGGCAGGGAAUUAGAAUCUACUCAAGCAUCUGCUGUAUUCUAGACAUUUUAUGUCCAUCGUCUCCUUCACACACCUUGGCACUCCACAAUGCAGAGGUUACUAUCCCCAAUUUGUAGAUGGAGGAUGAGAGGCAUUGAGAGAUGAAGUGACUUUUCAGACUCAGUCAGUUGCUCUCUAAAGCCAAUGCUCUUUCCACUGUACCUAACAAUUUUGUUGUAUCAAUCUGUUUAACUACAACAUGAUAUUAUUUAAUGUGACUCAGUUCAUAUGCUAUUGGUCAGUAGGGAAUUGAUGUGAAUUUUGUUGGUCUUGUCAGCAAACAGUUUAUUUUUCCAGUAUGACAAUGUUGUGACAAGAUCAGAAGCCAGCUUUCUCACCAUUAAAUCAAAGUCUUAUCAAUAUAUGGAGACUUUUAUGGAAAGAAACCUGAAAUUACGCAGAAAUGCCUUCCGCAAGAAGUGGCUAGUAUGGUGGCUUCAAGAACAGUGACAUUUUUCAGUAUGUCCGUUGUUCUAAGACGUUAGUACAUCACAAUUACCUAGAAAACUUGUUAAAACACAGAAGUCUGGGCUCCCCCUCUUGGCCAACCCCCAUUCCCAGAGGGUUUCUGUUUCCAUGGGUCUGAAAUACCACCUAACGAUUGGCAUUUCUAACAAAUUUCUGCAUGAAGCUGCUGGUCUGAGGACCACACUUUGACAACCAGUGCACUACAUUAAGCUAUCUGGAGAAGCUGCAAAUGCAGAUGAAGAAGCUACAAAUUUUUCUAUGUCAACAAAAAUUGACUGAUGAGGGUGACCUUCGGAUCAUGUUUUUAAUGUUUAUGAAACUGGUCUCAUUAUCAGAAGUAAAUGGCUUCAAGAACUUCAGCCUGAGGAAGAAAACAUGAGUCCUAGGCAUAUCAGGCUACAACCAUGUUUGGAAUGAAUCUAGGUGCAAAUCUCAGUGGAGAAUUAACUGUACCAAUAUUUUAAUUAGGAUUACUAAUGUUUUGUUACUUCCUGAUUACAAGGUUCUAUAGGUUUUGAAUGAUCCACUGUAAUCCUGUUUCUUUUCCAUAAGUCGUGUAGUUUUUAGCAUGUAAUUAUGCAGACCAUAAGGUUUUUCAGGAAUACUAAUAUGGCAUUAGAUUAGAAAUGCUAUAUUAAAAAUUCUUAUUAAAUCUACUGAUAGUAACCAAAAAAUAGAAGAUUCAGAAGAACUAGCAAAUGUGGAGAGAACGGAUGAAAUGGAAGCAGUGUGAACCUAGUGAAUACUUGCCAAGCUGUAUCUCCCCUGAAUUUGUCAAAACAUCAUCUCCAGCAUCUGAGCUAGACCAACCCUCAGUGCUAACAUUGAUGUGAUUAAAGAGUCUGAACUGGGAGCAGAAUUCCUUCAGGUAUUUUGUUAAUAAAAUAAAGCUCUCCAUCUCUCCUUAAAUUAAACAAGCCUGCUCUCCUGGAUCAUGUUUUGAACAUAGUUCAUUUUACGAAAGGCUUCCCUUUGGGGCCCUUUAUUUUAAUUCUGGUUGUGCAAAUCAGCCCAUGUUCUGUUCAUGAGGGACACCUGUUUAUUCCCCGUGAAAACAAAUUCGUUGGAUGCACCCUGGGAGGCUACAAGGA